AUGGAGGACGCCACGUACAACACCAUCCUCGUGGUCCUCCUGGCCGUGUCCAUGAUCUACUUCUUCAAGCCCGCCUCAGGCCGCCGACCGCCGGGCCCGCGCACGCUCCCCAUCAUCGGGAGCGUGCACCACUUCGUGAACACCCUGGUGCACCGGAGACUCCGGGACCUGGCCGGCGUGCACGGGCCCAUCAUGAUGCUCAAGAUCGGGCCGAUGCCGCUGGUGGUGGUGACGUCGCGGGAGCUGGCGCGCGAGGUGCUCAAGGUGCAGGACCCCAACUUCGCCAACCGGCCCCGGCUGCUGGUUGGGGGCAUCUGCGGCUAUGGCUGGACCGACAUCAUCUUCGCGCCCACCAGCGAUUACUGGCGCAAGAUCCGCAAGCUCUGCAUCCACGAGAUCCUCAGCCCCAAGCGCGUGCUCCAGUUCCAGUUCAUACGCGAGGAGGAGGUGCAGAGGCAGGUGGACCUCAUCCGCGCCGCCGCCGCGGCCGGCGAGCCCGUCGACGUCACCAGGAUGGUGUACGACAUCAGCAGCCGGACCAUCUCGAGGUCGGCGUUCGGGGAGGUGCGGCCCGACAUGCCGGUGUUCCAGCACGCCAUCAAGCGCGUUGUUGGGCUGUCCAGUGGGUUCAACGUGCCCGACCUCUUCCCGCGGCUCAAGGAGGUGCUCGGCGAGGCCACCGGGAUGAAGAGGAAGCUGCGAGAGAUCCACCGGACGUUCGACGACAUACUCGUGGACAUCAUCGAGGGGAGGCGGAGGGUGCGCGCCGACAAGAUCGCUGCCGGUAAGGAUGUCGUCGAUGAGAACGUCGUCGACGUCAUGCUCUCCUUGCAGAAGGGUGACAACCCCUGGGGGUUCCCGGUCACGGACAACACCAUCAAAGCAGUCGUACUGGACAUGUUUGCCGGCGGCACGGGGACCUCCGGCUCGUCGACGGAGUGGGCGAUGUCCGAGAUCAUGCGCACCCCGCGCGUGAUGAAGAAGCUGCAGGACGAGGUCCGGCGAGCCUUCCACGGCAAGGAGAGCAUCAGCGAGACGGAGCUCCGCAGCAACAGCGUCAGGUACCUGAAGCUCACCAUGAAGGAGGCGAUCCGGCUGCACCCGGCGGCGCCAUUGCUGGUGCCUAGAGAGAGCAUUGAGACGACGGAGAUCGGCGGGUACGUGGUGCCGGCCAAGUCCAGGAUGGUGGUGAACGCGUGGGCGAUCUCAAGGGACCCGCGGUACUGGAAGGACCCGGAGGAGUUCGUGCCGGAGCGGUUCGAGGAGGACGGCGCGGUGGACUUCCACGGGCUCCAUUUCGAGUUCACGCCGUUCGGGGCCGGGAGGAGGAUGUGCCCAGGGUACAACUACGGACUCGCCGGCAUGGAGCUCACGCUGCUGCAGCUCAUGUACCACUUCGACUGGAGGCUGCCCGCCGGCGUGGAAGAGGUGGACAUGGCGGAGUCCAUGGGGCUCGGCGUGCGCAGGAAGAACCCCCUCAUGCUCUAUGCCACUCCUUACAUUGUCCCUCCUCCUGCUGCUCCCUUAGCUUCGACAUGA
rnacentral:rRNA from 1 species